rnacentral:pre_miRNA from 14 species
ACACGUCAUCUCUGUGCUUCUUUGUCUACACUUUUGGAAAAGGUGAUGAUAUCAUUGCUUUUCCCCAAAUGUAGACAAAGCAAUACCGUGAUGACGUUAU